GUCAGUGGCCAUACCAUUCAGAAUCCACCAGUCCCUACACCUUCUCUUCUGCUAAGCAGGGGCGGGCCUUGUCAGUACUUGGAUAGAGAGGUGACAAGAGACUUCCACUGUUU
ensembl:rRNA 5S_rRNA 5S ribosomal RNA